GACUUUUUCUGUUCGGAGCUUCAAACGAAGAUUCCACACGCGCGACCCAUUUCUUUCGAUGAUUCCAAUCUUUCUUCAGAAGGAAGUUUCUUCAUCCGACGUCAAACGCAAAAAGUAGUUUUGCGGCAUAUUUCAACCCAUACUACGUUCAAGCUAUUUUCUCACUUAAAUGAACCAGGAACAAGUAUCGACAUUUUAUAGAGAGAUACUUAACUCUGAUGCAUAAUAUGACAACUUCAUAUUUAUUCUGAUCGUCUCACAAAUAUUAUUUAGCUCAGUUUUUACUCAUUUCUUUGUCCAUGGAUCAUUUUAAUUUGCUCAAAGUGAUCCAAACUUAUAUUUCAUUAUUUCAUAGAGUCUCUCAUAAUUUUUGGUAUAGUAAUAUAUCAACUCUAUAUUUUUCUCUUAACUUUGUGAGCUAAAUUCUUCAGUGUCUAAAUCAAUUCGUACCGGUUUUAUAAAUAUCUUCCCUAAAUAUCUAAUAAUCCAUCCUCAUCCUCUGUGACUCACGUUCACUCCCUCCUUUUCUUUCAUUUGUCACGUUUCUUUCUUUCUCUUGCAGCAGACCAUAAUCUUUCUUUCUUAUUCUUCUUCUUCUCUAUUUCUAUAUAUAUAUAUAUCUUACCACUUGUUGCAACUCACGUUCUCUCUCUCAGAAGCAUCACCACCAGACUUCAAUAUUUAUUCAUUUCCUUUCUUUUUAUUUCUUUUGCUGCAGCUCCCCAAUUCUUUCCACUUAUUCUUCCUCUCUUUUCUUUCCCCUGGGCAGCAUAAAAAAACGCACAUCAUGGUCCCUUUUCCUCCCUCACGUGAUUCCACUCUUGUGCAGCACCAUCAUCUUCAUCUUCCAAUUUUAUGGGUACGAAGGACGAAAACGCCUUGCGACGAAGCUAAAGAAUAGAAGGAAGCGAGCCAACGCGGAAAACAAAGAUGUGAUAGGAUUGGAGUUGCAGUUUAGGAAGAAAAUUGGCUAAGAUGUCGUCGAUGGAUUCUUUCGUGAUUUUUCGUCAUUCGGGGAAGACCCGGAGCGAAAUGACUACUACUAAGCCUUUGACGUGGACCCGGACUUCAUGCAUGACCAGAUGAGAGUCGAUGAUGGAAGUAUGGGGGAUGGGUGUUUAGAGUCUACUAAGGGUGGGUGUUAGUGUCCUAGCUCUGACUUAUUCUUAUUUUUGGAGGGCUUGUGUUGCUGACACUUGACCUAUCAUUUUGGGGAUUGUACAUUUUGCCUAUGGGCGUUACACUUUUCUACUUUCCGUCACUGGAGGUUACUCGUGACGAGGUCGCUACUUUCAGCGGGGAAUGUUAUAUGUAUUGUGUAUUAGUUCUGUUA